rnacentral:rRNA from 1 species
CCUACGGGAGGCAGCAGUCGAGAAUCAUUCACAAUGGGGGAAACCCUGAUGGUGCGACGCCGCGUGGGGGAAUGAAGGUCUUCGGAUUGUAAACCCCUGUCAUGUGGGAGCAAAUUAAAAAGAUAGUACCACAAGAGGAAGAGACGGCUAACUCUGUGCCAGCAGCCGCGGUAAUACAGAGGUCUCAAGCGUUGUUCGGAAUCACUGGGCGUAAAGCGUGCGUAGGCUGUUUCGUAAGUCGGGUGUGAAAGGCGCGGGCUCAACCCGCGGACGGCACAUGAUACUGCGAGACUAGAGUAAGGGAGGGGGAACCGGAAUUCUCGGUGUAGCAGUGAAAUGCGUAGAUAUCGAGAGGAACACUCGUGGCGAAGGCGGGUUCCUGGACAUUAACUGACGCUGAGGCACGAAGGCCAGGGGAGCGAAAGGGAUUAGAUACCCGGGUAGUC